UACGGAGGGGGCUAGCGUUGUUCGGAAUUACUGGGCGUAAAGCGCGCGUAGGCGGCUUUGUAAGACAGAUGUGAAAUCCCCGGGCUUAACCUGGGAACUGCAUUUGUGACUGCAUGGCUAGAGUGCGGCAGAGGGGGAUGGAAUUCCGCGUGUAGCAGUGAAAUGCGUAGAUAUGCGGAGGAACACCGAUGGCGAAGGCAAUCCCCUGGGCCUGCACUGACGCUCAUGCACGAAAGCGUGGGGAGCAAACAGG
rnacentral:rRNA from 1 species